AGUGAACGCUGGCGGCAGGCCUAACACAUGCAAGUCGAGCGGCAGCGCGUCCGACCACCCUCGGGUGGUCGGAUGGCGGCGAGCGGCGGACGGGUGAGGAAUGCAUCGGAAUCUGCCUCGUUGUGGGGGAUAACGUAGGGAAACUUACGCUAAUACCGCAUACGACCUACGGGUGAAAGUGGGGGACCUUCGGGCCUCACGCGAUGAGAUGAGCCGAUGCCGGAUUAGCUAGUUGGCGGGGUAAAGGCCCACCAAGGCGACGAUCCGUAGCUGGUCUGAGAGGAUGAUCAGCCACACUGGAACUGAGACACGGUCCAGACUCCUACGGGAGGCAGCAGUGGGGAAUAUUGGACAAUGGGGGCAACCCUGAUCCAGCCAU
rnacentral:rRNA from 1 species